rnacentral:snRNA from 1 species
UUUACUGCGCAGUGGCAGUAUCAUAGCCAAUGAGGUUUACCUGAGGCACGAUUAUUGCUAAUUGAAAAAAUAUUGCACUAGUCGAGCAUCUUGUGUGUGGAUCGGGAUC